rnacentral:rRNA from 1 species
UACGAAGGGGGCUAGCGUUGCUCGGAAUCACUGGGCGUAAAGCGCACGUAGGCGGCUUACUAAGUCAGGGGUGAAAUCCUGGAGCUCAACUCCAGAACUGCCUUUGAUACUGGUAAGCUCGAGUCCGGGAGAGGUGAGUGGAACUGCGAGUGUAGAGGUGAAAUUCGUAGAUAUUCGCAAGAACACCAGUGGCGAAGGCGGCUCACUGGUCCGGUUCUGACGCUGAGGCGCGAAAGCGUGGGGAGCAAACAGG